AUUGCUUAGAAUGUCCUUAAAUAUUGUUGGUAGGGGCAUGGGUUAGUAUGUGAAUGUAUAAGCGUCGAUUUUGGCUUGAAGGUAAGUUGUCGAAUUGAAUUUAUGUAAGUUGUUGAAUAGUGGAAAAAGAAAGCUAUUGUUGUUGUAUUGCUUUCCGAAUUAGUUGUUGAUGUUGUUAGGUUGGUUGUUGCUGUUGUUGUUGAUUGAUAUGGCCGAGUUAAAUUCUCGGGGUAGCCUAUUUACAGGGGAAAUGCCGCCCAAAUUUCCGUAGAGUUAAGGGCGAAAUUGGAAUUUAAUGCCCAAAAAGUCUUUAGCUAAUGUUUGGCAUUUUAUGGCUUGUUUGUAGACCUUGGGCAGCCCGAAUCAUAGUUUGGACUUAGCUGGAGUUGGAUCAUAUUGGAGAGCGUUUGAGGUACAGACGCACAGCCUGGUGAUCCACCUGUUUAGGACACCCUUUCUGCUAUUCGGAGUGCUCCUCUCUUUCCGGAGCUUAUACUUUUGUGAUGCCUCCGAAAAAGGCGACGGCCGCCCAGAAGAAAAAGGGCGUAGUAGGAGAGACCAGCCGGGCUCAGAAGGGUACUCGGACCCUUGCUCAGAUGAUGCGUGAUAUUACAUCCCGGCCAGCCGACUCUGCUACGUCUUCAUCGUCAGAGGAGUCUGGAGCAGCUUCACCAUUAGCUCCAGGGGCUUCAGCUCCCGCGCCUCCAGCUCCUCAGCAAGGGGCGGAGGACAGGACACUGAGAGAGGCUGUGCAGUUAUUGACCACUCUGGUAGCGGGACAGG